rnacentral:misc_RNA from 1 species
GUGAAUCAUCAAAUUUUUGAACGCAAAUUGCACUCUCUUCGGAGAGUAUGCCUGUUUGUGGGUGAUUAAAAAUAAUACUUAACAAAUUUUUUUGGUCUAAGGAUAUGAGUUCUACCCGUUUAUAGCGGUAACUUGAAAUAAAUGGUCAAGUCUCAUUUUAGCCGAGACGCGUAUUAAUAUUAUUUCGCUACAUCUUCAUUAUGUGACUAUCAAGUUUUGAUGCAUACACAUUUGGUUUGUAUGCGAUCACUACAAAUAUUUUGAACAUUACCUCAAAUCAGGUAGUAGUACCCGCUGAA